CCAACAGGGAUUGCCUCAGUAACGGGCGAGUGAAGCGGCAACAGCUCAAAUUUGAAAUCUGGCCCUAGGCCCGAGUUGUAAUUUGCAGAGGAUGCUUCUGGCGCGGUGCCUUCCAAGUCCCCUGGAACGGGGCGCCAUAGAGGGUGAGAGCCCCGUCUGGUUGGCCGCCAAGCCUGUGUGAAGCUCCUUCGACGAGUCGAGUAGUUUGGGAAUGCUGCUCUAAAUGGGAGGUAGACCCCUUCUAAAGCUAAAUAUUGGCCAGAGACCGAUAGCGCACAAGUAGAGUGAUCGAAAGAUGAAAAGCACUUUGAAAAGAGGGUUAAACAGUACGUGAAAUUGUUGAAAGGGAAGCGCUUGUGACCAGACGUGCGUCGGGGUGUUCAGCGGGCGUUCUCGCCCGUGCACUCGCCCCGGUGCAGGCCAGCGUCGGUUCGGGUGGGGGGACAAAGGCGUCGGGAACGUAGCUCCUCCGGGAGUGUUAUAGCCCAGCGUGUCAUGCCCCCGCCUGGACCGAGGUUCGCGCUCCGCAAGGACGCUGGCGUAAUGGUCCCCAGCGGCCCGUCUUGAAACACGGACCAAGGAGUCGAGGUUUUGCGCGAGUGUUUGGGUGUCAAACCCGCACGCGUAAUGAAAGUGAACGCAGGUGGGAGCUUCGGCGCACCACCGACCGAUCCUGAUGUUCUCGGAUGGAUUUGAGUAAGAGCGUAGGGCCUCGGACCCGAAAGAUGGUGAACUAUACGUGAAUAGGGUGAAGCCAGAGGAAACUCUGGUGGAGGCUCGCAGCGGUUCUGACGUGCAAAUCGAUCGUCAAAUUUGCGUAUGGGGGCGAAAGACUAAUCGAACCAU
rnacentral:rRNA from 1 species